GAGAGGAGGGAGGUGUGCCGGCUGGAACAGACUGAGCGGGGUCCCACAGUUAUCUCGUCUCAGAAGCAGGACCAGAACUGAAGGCCCCCAGGCUGGGUUUGGAUUGGCCUCGAGAGGAACAGCAGCUUCCUGGCAGCCGGCAGCCAGAGCACGAGGUGGGCGUGCAGACCCUGCCCCCGGCCCUCCCUGACUGAACUCGAACACUCGGAAAAUCCCUGAGAAUGUAUUUGCCUCGAUGCAAGCCGCUUUUUUUCACUUCCGCAUCGCAGAGAGCCGUGAAAAGUGGCCAGAAAUGGCUCCAGCCGUGAGCCAAAUCUGUCGGCCUGUUCACUGGCCCUCCAGACAGAGGCGCACGUCCUGCUCCCAUGGAGCCGGCUUCUUACUCUGCCCAGAAGCGCCCCCAGCAUCGCUCAGACCCAACCAGUAUGAAAGGCGAUGACCAGAGUGGUUUCUUGUGGGUGGACAACACCGGCCUGCCCCAGCCUGCGGCCAGGAGGACCCGCUCCCACCACCGAGACAGCAGACAGACACUCCCGAUGCCCCCCCAGGUCGGCCGCGGCUUCGCUGCUCAACACAGCCGACCAGGAGGAGGGCCGUUGUUCCUCCAUAAACCGAUUUGUUCCCCUGAGUCUCUCCGGGCACCCCAGGGGGCUGGGCUUGCUGCUCACCCCACUUCAGCACCCACCGGCUCUCGCCUCCCUCCCAGGAAUCCUCAGCCACAAACCCUGGAGCUCUUCUACUGCCCGGCACGGUGAUAUACUCCGGGUCCACAGGAGUGAAGAACUGGUGCGGCCCUGCCUCGCGGGAAGAGCCAAGGCAGCAGAGAAAGAGAAAAAAGGCUGUAAUCUAAUAAAGACCAUACAGACAGGCCCCGGGCCGGCACCAUUCUAGUCCUAUAUUCAAGGCCUCACAAAGGCUGGUCACACUUCCACCUGCGUGCUGAGAGGAAGGAUGCUGCUGGAAGGGGAUUCUGUUUUACGAAGGGUGACGGAGCAAGAAUCCUAACUUCUUUACCCAAAGCUGAGUUCAUCAUCUGUCUGGCCCGGCCAACUAGCCCUUUCC
rnacentral:lncRNA from 1 species